rnacentral:pre_miRNA from 7 species
CAGCCUGGUGACAGCUGCAGUGCAGCACUGCGUGUAUUUGACAAGCUGAGUUUGACACUCAGUCUGGCAGAGUGUCAGUUUGUCAAAUACCCCAAGUGAGGCACUUGCUGAGCAACACGGCCGCA